UUGGGUUUUGUGGGCCCCCAGGGAACAACCGUAGGUGUCUGGGAGAGGGAGCUAGAGUUCUAGCUGAGCAGAUAGCAUGUCAAGGGUGUUCCGGCUUGUCUGUGAGCUGGGCUUGAUGUUUGAUGUAUUGUGCUCAUGUUUAAGAGCAGCCCUAGUUGUGCUCUCAAGGGGUGUUCCUACAUGCGAUCGAGACCUGUGUUGUGGUUCAGCUGUCGCCGUGCACGCAGGUGACUUGUUUGGUAUUGGUUUGGCAGAUGCCGAGGGAGGAGUCGUGCAGGGUGAUGGAGGACGGCGCUGUCAGCAGGAGCCGAGCGGGAUCUGGGCACCGGAGGGGAAUCGCACAGGGUGGUGGGCGAGCCUCAAGGUGGCGACCGUAUCUGAUGGAGGCCAGGCAGGUGCCGCCUGCAGGCUUCGGAGGGGAGACGCCG